CCAUUUCCACCCAUAAUUCUUUUCUCCUUCUUCUCUCUUCUCUCUCUCUUCACUCUCUCUUCGCCGCCUCUACGCCGCCGCCGGAAAUCGCCCACCGACGGCGGACCACCUCCAAACCAUCUCAAAAUUUUAUCAUGUAAUCUCCAAUACCUCCUCUUUCUAUAUCUCCAAACCAAAUCCUUCAAAAACCCCUCAAACUCCUUGAAUCUUAGAUCUAGAAAACUUUCCCGUCACUUUUUUGCCCAAAUUCUUGAAGCUCCAACCACUAUCACCCCACAAUACCUACAUCAACAGAUAGAGCUCCUCAAGACCUAGCUAUUGAUGCCAAUUUCACACUGAAAUCCGGCGACCAAAAUCCGACCAAAUUCCGGCGGUCUCCCCGAACACUCUCUUUUGGCAUACCACCAUUUUUUCGGCCACUUGAAUUGUAAAAUGGUAAAUAUCAUAUUCUUUUUUCAUGGCUGAUUUUUUAUUUUAUUUUUAUUUUUCAGAUUUUUAUUUUGUCUAUUAUUAAUUAUUUUAGCAUUAGUUUUUGAAGUUUGAAAUGUUAAAUUUUCUGUUUUUGCACUUGUUGAAGUAGUAAAAUAGCUUUUUAUUGAUAAAAGUGAGGUAGUGAGGAAAUACUUGAGAGUAUAUGGUAAAAUUGUAAUCCUGCCCCGUUAUUAAUUUUCUGAUUUUUUGGGUUAGAAUUAGUUUCUGUCUUGUUUCUUUAUUUAAUCCAUUUCUGAUUAUGUUUGUCUAGUUGGUUUGUUAAAUCGCUUCAGCAAUAGCGUGUGUUCUGUCUGGCUUUAACAGUUAAUUUUUGUUUGCUCAUGUUGGUUCAUAGUACAUGUGUUGAAGUUUAAUUACAUGUUUUAAUACUUAGUUUAAUUUGAAUCAAUAGGGUGAUAUUGGUGUUGCUAAAAUCUGAAAUUUAGAUAUUUUUAUCACAAAAUAGGGUGCUAGUAGCCUACUUUUACUAGUAGGUUGGCUGAAAUGACAUUUUUUCUCCUUGCUUCUGGCAUAGUAGAUUUUGGACAGAUUUUGAACAGUGUUUAGCACACAAUGUCAGUCCUUGUCGGGUAGACUUUUGGUGAACCAAAAUGUGUCCAAAAAGUUGGCUUUUCUUUGCCUAUUUAAGGGGCUGCCCUUUCCUCAUUAUAGGGGGGACUCCAUCACACUUCCAUAGAGCAUUUUAUUUUUGCUUUGAACAUACAAAAACAAAAAAAAAAUUCAGCAGCUGAAGCAUCCUUUAGUAAGCUGAAAUUGUAAGACUUAAGAGUAAAUCUUAGAGUGCAAACUUUUUUUAGAAAAGUAUAAGUCCUCUUUAGAGUUUGUUUUUGGGUUUCUUCUAUGAGUUUCGGGCUGUUUUAACACGAAUUUGCUGCUGGUUUUGUGGUUGUUGUGCUGUUGUUUUUAUGCUGCUUUAAUUGCUGGACUACUAUUUAUUCUUUUGCUAUCCAGGUAAUCCUUUAAGACUCGUAAGGUAUGUAUUUUCAGCAAUGAGAACAACUUGAACAUGCUGCAUCAUUUAAAUGUGUUUGAUGUGGUGAAUAGUUCGACAACAAAGCUAGAAAAUAAUAAUAAUAUCAGAUUUUUCUACUAUUUUUAAUUAACUCGUUUGCUUUUAAUUAAUUUAAACGCUAGGCAAUUAGUAGGCGCGCUUUAACUCACGGAAUUACUUGUGUAGCGUGAUGUUUUAACGUUCAUUAAAUUAAUUCAAUAAUCUCACAUGCCUAUUAAUUUUAGUUAAUUCUCAAUUUAGUUAAUCUUUUUGUUAAGAUCGCGGAUUCGCUUGCGUAGCGCGAUAGUUGAUUUUUUUUAAAUAAUUUUCAAAACUAAUUUCUUCGAAUGUUGUAAUUUUCCCAGAAGUAAAUAACGUGCUAACAAUCAUUUGUCAUGACUGCGGAUUCGCUUGCGUAGCGCCGUUAUGACUAAAUAAUAAAUUUUGUCGAUCACGCAUUCGCUUGAGUAGUGUGGUUAUGACAUCUUCUUAUUCAAAAAUAUUAUUUAAUUUUUCUAAUAAUCAAGAGAUAAAAGCGGAUAGGUAAAACAUGAAAAUAAUAUAAAUCAUAGUUUGUCCAAAAUUAAUUCAAGCCAAAUGUAGUCGUUAAAGCGACCAUGCUAGAACCACGGGACUCGGGGAAUGCCUUACACCUUCUCCCCGAUCAACAGAAUUCCUUACCCGGACUUGUUUUUGCAGACCAAUAAUAAUAGAGUCAAACCUUCCUUUGAAUAGGGAUUAAAAUAAAAGGUGACUUGGAACACCGACAAAAAUCAAUUCCCAGUGGCGACUCUGUAAAUAAAAUAAUCCCUAUUUCAAAUUUGUCACUUCAAGUGGAAAAACUCUUUAACCCACAAUCCAUAACACGUUACAUUUUGUACAUAUCUUUUGGAGGGGUAAAAAAGGGGUAUGACAGCUCUGGCGACUCUGCUGGGGAAAAUACCAAAAUUCGAGCUUGUACAUGUUGACUUUUAUCUGGCUUUAUUAAUUUUGUAUAUAUUGUGAUUUAUUUGUGCCUAAUGUGCUACAUGUUCGUUUUUUACUGCUUCGAUAUUGUUGAACUGUACAUAUAAACUAUCUUCUCACGCACCCCCUCUAAGUCUUCUUGAAAUUAAAAAUUGGGCAUUUGCAUGACAUAGACCGCUUUCUUUGAGAUAGCCGAGGUGCUUGUCACCCGGUGAAAGAUUUUAUUCAUACAUACUUUUAGGUGGGGAGCACCACUAGUUAAGCCGGAAAGCAAUGCUACCGGUACACUGACCCUCCUCGGCUCGAGUUGUCCACUCGAGUAAGCCAGUCUAGAUAUCUUCUCCACUAGGAUUUAAACCUAGAAGAACAAACCUCAUGCCGAAUAUCCCUAGUAGGUUCGUUUAAUGUGCAUCACAUGCAUUUGACUUAGCGAAACUCGGCAUAAGGGCCGGGUCCGUAUAAGACAGGUAUCCUCUUUGAGAUCAUUAUAUCCACUUAUGUGCUACUUGCUACAUUAUUUGGAAGGCUUGCAUACAUUGUCGAUCGGCUUUAGAAAAUUGGCGUAGCAGAAUUAUUAAAAAAAGAGAAGAAAAAAAGGGAGUCAUUCUUUUAGUUUAGCGCAAAUAAACCCCUUUUAGAAGAAAUAUUUUGUUAGUAGCCUGGUGUGAGGUUUAAGGAUUAUUUUUCAUAAAACUCAAAAGGGAAAAGUACUUAGUUUCACCGAACUACGCGGGUCUGAUUCUCACAGGAUGUGAGAUACGUAAGCAAACCUCAUCGGUUUCGGCCCCCAAUUUUCCAAAAAAAAAAGAAGAAAAAUCCAAACAUAUUCUCCUUUUUCCUUAAUUCCUUCUUAGAAAUCUUUCCUUAGAAAAUGAAAAAAAAUCCAAAAAAUAAAAUAAAAUAAUUUCUUUCAAAAAAAAAAACUUUUUUCAAAAAUUCCAAAAAAAGGAUUGAAUUCCAAAAUACUUUUCUUCUUUCACAAUUGAAAGGAAAAAUUUUCAAAAUUCAAAAAUGUUUUAUUUCUUCUUUAGAAGUCUUUCUUUCAAAAAUUUCAAAAAAAAAACUUAAAAAAAAACUUUUAAAAAAAGAAAAAUAUCUUUUUUUUAGAAGUCUUUCUUUCAAUAAUUCAAUAAAAAAUUAAAUCCAAAACAAAAACUUUCUUUUGAAGCCUUUCUUUCUACAAAAAAAAAUCCAAAAUUUUUUCCUUGUUAGGAGCUUUCUUUGGAGUUAUUUGUAUAUGAGUAAAGAAAAAAAUGAGAGUUAUUUUGUUUACUUUAUUUAUUAUUUUUCCGAACUACGCAAAAUCUGAUUCAUGCGGUGUAAUGAUACGUAGACAAUUUCCAUCGGAUUCGAUCAUAGCCAUAGAAUUAGUUGAGUGAAAAAUAAACUAAAAGAAAAAGAGAAAGAAAAUUGAGUGAAAAAAAAAAUGAAAAAAGAAAAGGAAAAGAAAGUUACAUAAAAUAAAAGAGUGAAAAAAAGAGAAAAAGAGAGUGCCAAAAUAGAAAAGCGACAUAAACAAAACAAAAAUUAAGAGUGAUUAGAGAGAAGCAAAAAUGAAGAAAAGAGGUGCAGAUUGAAAAAAGGGAUAAUUAAGGCCGGGAUGAAACAUGCAACUCGUUCAAACACAUAGUAGAAAUGUUUAACUGUUUAGGUGCAUUGCAUCCCAAUAUGUGAUUUCUUAUCUAUUAAGCAUCUCAAAACUAACAAGGUUGUUGGGUGUGCAAAUUAGAUCCAGGUUUUGGUGAUUGGUUUUGUUGGUAGUCUAGCCUCCCC
rnacentral:lncRNA from 1 species